rnacentral:rRNA from 1 species
GACGAACGCUGGCGGCGUGCCUAAUACAUGCAAGUAGAACGCUGAAGAGAGGAGCUUGCUCUUCUUGGAUGAGUUGCGAACGGGUGAGUAACGCGUAGGUAACCUGCCUUGUAGCGGGGGAUAACUAUUGGAAACGAUAGCUAAUACCGCAUAACAAUGGAUGACACAUGUCAUUUAUUUGAAAGGGGCAAUUGCUCCACUACAAGAUGGACCUGCGUUGUAUUAGCUAGUAGGUGAGGUAACGGCUCACCUAGGCGACGAUACAUAGCCGACCUGAGAGGGUGAUCGGCCACACUGGGACUGAGACACGGCCCAGACUCCUACGGGAGGCAGCAGUAGGGAAUCUUCGGCAAUGGGGGCAACCCUGACCGAGCAACGCCGCGUGAGUGAAGAAGGUUUUCGGAUCGUAAAGCUCUGUUGUAAGUCAAGAACGAGUGUGAGAGUGGAAAGUUCACACUGUGACGGUAGCUUACCAGAAAGGGACGGCUAACUACGUGCCAACAGCCGCGGUAAUACGUAGGUCCCGAGCGUUGUCCGGAUUUAUUGGGCGUAAAGCGAGCGCAGGCGGUUUGAUAAGUCUGAAGUUAAAGGCUGUGGCUCAACCAUAGUUCGCUUUGGAAACUGUCAAACUUGAGUGCAGAAGGGGAGAGUGGAAUUCCAUGUGUAGCGGUGAAAUGCGUAGAUAUAUGGAGGAACACCGGUGGCGAAAGCGGCUCUCUGGUCUGUAACUGACGCUGAGGCUCGAAAGCGUGGGGAGCGAACAGGAUUAGAUACCCUGGUAGUCCACGCCGUAAACGAUGAGUGCUAGGUGUUGGAUCCUUUCCGGGAUUCAGUGCCGCAGCUAACGCAUUAAGCACUCCGCCUGGGGAGUACGACCGCAAGGUUGAAACUCAAAGGAAUUGACGGGGGCCCGCACAAGCGGUGGAGCAUGUGGUUUAAUUCGAAGCAACGCGAAGAACCUUACCAGGUCUUGACAUCCCGAUGCUAUUUCUAGAGAUAGAAAGUUACUUCGGUACAUCGGUGACAGGUGGUGCAUGGUUGUCGUCAGCUCGUGUCGUGAGAUGUUGGGUUAAGUCCCGCAACGAGCGCAACCCCUAUUGUUAGUUGCCAUCAUUCAGUUGGGCACUCUAGCGAGACUGCCGGUAAUAAACCGGAGGAAGGUGGGGAUGACGUCAAAUCAUCAUGCCCCUUAUGACCUGGGCUACACACGUGCUACAAUGGUUGGUACAACGAGUUGCGAGUCGGUGACGGCAAGCUAAUCUCUUAAAGCCAAUCUCAGUUCGGAUUGUAGGCUGCAACUCGCCUACAUGAAGUCGGAAUCGCUAGUAAUCGCGGAUCAGCACGCCGCGGUGAAUACGUUCCCGGGCCU